UCUGAAAACACUAUACUUUCUUUCUAAUUCAAGAAAAACAAAAACACGAUCAAAUCAGUUUCAGUUGUAAAACAAGUGACAACUUUUACGUCCUCAUUUCUAAUGGAAUCAAAAUAAAUCUGAAUCGAUCAGUCGAUGAUCCUUUCAAUUGGGUACCAAACCUUCCCUCGGAACGAAAAUAGAUCAGCAGCCUGUUCUCAUGAUGAUUGUCCCACAGGUAGAUCAUAUUUUGGAAAACAACCAACAUAGACCCUCUUCGAUGCUUCCUGUAUUACGUCAACUUAUUCCGAAGAAGUGCACAAAAUAUUUGCAAUCUUUAUAAGCAUAAAAAGAGUACAUUAAUGAAAGAUGAAGAACAAAAUUGCUCUUCUUUUACUAGGUCAAUGCAUUAAAGAAUUAAUGAGAGAUGAGCAUACACUGUUCUCAUGACAAGAACUUUUGUUUUGAAGUACUCAAAACUAAUCACAAAAGAUAAGCUCAUAAUAUUUAUUAUACUAUGAUUGUUAAAAAUCUUCCAUUUAAAUAUUGCAUGAAUGUCUUCUCGAAGAUAUUAUAAUGUUAGGUUUUAACAAGAAGUUUCUUCAUGACAUAUGGAUUAUUUUGUGCCACAACAAAAUCCAACAUUGCAAGCACACAAGAUAAUUUUAAGAGAACGGGCAGCAAAUUGGCAAGCAUAAAUAAUACAGCAAGGGGGUUAUCUUCAGCAAUUGAAGCUAAAGAAAAAGCCACUGGAAAAUGUGACACAUGUAGAAAAUAAUGAAGUAUAAAUCAAUGCAAUGUAUCAAAUAGAAUGAGAUAAGAUAAUUUCGAUAUGAAGCUUUGCAACCUCGUAAAAUUUAGUCCAACACUAAAUGCAUAUAGUGCACCUGCAAUUACUUGACAGUUUUCUUUCUUUUGUUGGUGUUCAAGCUUUGGCCCCCUUCAAAUAAGUUUCAAUCAGAGGGUUCACUAGUCAAUAGGUGGUAGCUGUCAUACAUAUAACCCUCUCAUAUCUUGUUGUCUCUAUAAGACUUACAGAACAAGGACAAUGGUGUGAGGAGGCUAAGUAAAUUAGCUUUAAUAGACUUAAAUCAAGCACCAGCAGAGUAAACAUGUAGACAGAAUAAUUGACAUCUCAAGUUGGUUUCACAACUGAAACACACAAAACAGAUUGUUACAUGAAGAAAUUAAGGAAUGACAAUGAAGAUGUAACAUAUAGAUUGAUGGAAAGGCAGUUGCAGCAGGAAUCAGUGCAACAUAAAAGAGUUCAUCCUCUUUAGGUUAUUUCAGGAGUGAAAGGGUGUCAAACAUAGAUUGGUGUAAUUACAAAACAGCUUCGAGUCACAAAAUCGAAUGGCAAAUAAUCGUCAGAAAAUCAAGAAUUGGUGCAAGAACUUACAGACAGACACAAGUUUUUGUGGAAACUUGAUUGAUCUGACUGAAAACCUGAAGGCCUAGAAAGUGUACCUUGAUUUCCUGUAUAGUGGCUCUGCAUUCUUCGAGAAGUUAAAAGAACAAGAAGCUAAAAAACUUCAGAGAAGAUCGAUGGAUCCUGAUAACACAUGACAGAUCUGGGAUUUUAUAGAUGAAACACAGAGCAAUGUUUAAAUUGAUUUUUAAAAUUCUAGAGACAAUAUUCAAUCAAAUAGUCGCAUGAAUAUUGACAAAGGGAGGACAAAACAUAGGGAGUAUUUGUCCUCAUUGGAGCAAUGAUAGAUGUGAGCACAUUUGAAAGUACAUCAGGAGCAAAAGUGAUGGUAAUUUGUUUUAAACCAAUGCUUUUCCAAAGUAACUAACAAGCCAUUAAAAUUUGUGUGGCUUUGCUGUACUAAGCUAACAUUCCAUGUAAUCAAAUCAAAUAUUUAAGAUUGAGAUUUAAAUUUUAUUUUCCUUACUUGCCAUUAUAAUUUAGGAAAUCUUAAUCUAUUUCCUUAUUUGUUAAUAUAAAUUAGGAAAUAACUAUUAAGCAUUCCAAAUAGGAUGAGAUCAUAUUUGUUAGUAUAUUAAAUAGAAAUAAUCUAUAUUAAAUAAAUACGAAAAUAAAAAUAUAUUUCCUUUAAUGGAGGCUCACCUCCUCGUAUUUAAGGAGAGAGAUUUCUCUCCUUCGUUCCUCACCUAGUCGAGCCUGGCAGCGAGAGGAACAAGGAGUUAUAUCCUACUGACGAGAGGUAGGUUUCCCUGUCUUUCUUGAAUAUAAAAGUUUUAGUUUUUAUUUUGAUUCUGUUGAAAGUUUUGUAGUUUGAAAAAUAUAUAUCAAUCCUUUAAAUAUCAAAAUUUUUAUAUUAAAGUAAUCAGUUAAAGUUUUUAUAAUAUUCUUUGACCCAUGAUUAAGGUUUUUAUUGUAGAUUUAAAUAUUUAUAUGUUUUAUAUGAUAUUUCCUAGCAUUACAGUUCAUCUUUAAUCUUAUUUGGAUUAAAAUCUUGUUAGAUUAAAAUAUGUUAUCUAAAAUCUUGUUUGAUAUUCUUUGAUCUAAAAUUUAAAAUAUGUUAUUCUGAAUUAUUUAAAUUUUGACUAGAAUAUAUUGACAUUUUAUAGGUGUUGAAAGCAUGAUUUCUAUUUGAAUUUAGAAUAUUAUUUCCUUGUAUUAAAACUUAUCUCCCGGUCUAUCUUUUAAUGUGUUAUGAUUUCUAUUCAUAGGAUGUUAUUUCCUUAUAUUAAAACUUUUCUCCUUAUCUAUUUUUUAUGCGUUAUUAUGUUUUUAUUUAUAUUGUUAAUGGAUAUAUGUUGUAGCAUGAAAUUGGAUAUUAAUUGGAAUGAAAUUGCUCACAGCAGGCCCAACCCACAGGUCAGGCCUUGGCCCGUAGGCUAACCUAGCCCAACCAUCAUGGGCGAUCACAUGCGACGCACAUGACCAGUCUAUGGGUCAGGGUUGGGCCAGCUUUGUGUGAUGCAUGCUCAGUUAUGUAUAAUGCACAUGACCAGUAGAUGGGCUGGCCCAAUCUAGCCCAAUAUUAUUAUUGAAUUUGAACUCAAACAUUGAUUGAACUAAACUAGACUUGAUCAGUCUAGAUCAAUUCAGGGUGAUUCCGAAUGGUUUGACUUAUUCAAGUUAGUUUAACCUAAAUUGAAUCUAAUCUAGUCCAAAUUAUACUGGUCUAGGGUGGUUCUAGACUAGUUAUAUAAGGAUUAGAGAUCGGUUCAGUUAGGUUCUAGUUAAUUGAGUUCAAUUGAAUCGAUUGAACUAGAGUUCAAGCCAAUUGAGGGCUAAUUUGUAUUAUUUGAUAUUGAUGAUAUUUGAAAGAGGUGUUUCAAAUGUAUUAUUUCAUCCCAAUAUGGACAUGAUCGGUGUGAGAUUCUAUUAUUUCCCUGCCGAGAGCAGGUAGGGCGAUUCCCUUUGGGGAUUAGCGGGCCGUCAGACGUGGCGACUGGACGGUUCCUUCAUCCGCUAUUGGGAGGAACGUGUCCCCACUUUGGCGGGUGUGGGACACCACUCCAUCCGCUGUUGGGAGUGCGAUAUGAGUUUGCCUCCAUCCGCUGUUGGGAGAACACAAACUCAUCCCGUAGGAUAAAGCAUCUUCAUCCGCUGUUGGGGGAGUGCUCCUUCGGGUAUUUGAUAUACGCCAAUGGGAUGAGUGAUUGAAUUUUGAUCAUGUAUACAUUUUGAGUUGACUUUUGGGGUUCCUACUCAGUGUUGCUGAAUUUUCUUUGUUUUUGAUUUUCAGAGCAGCCUCCCUCUAGUACUAAAUCGGAUUCCAGUGGAGAGCGGACCUUCCUCUACCGCUAAGUAGAGCCACUUGGAUGAUUCUUGAAGUUAACAUCACUAUGUUUACUUUUCUAUUUAUGAUUCGAUGAAUAAAUGGAUUGUAAUAAACGAAUUGUAAUAAAUGUUUAUGAAUGAUGAAUAAAGUGAUGUUUAUCUAUUUGGCCUAAAUGUGUGAAAAGAUAUAUAAAAUAAAAAAAAAUCCAGGAUGUGACAUCUUUUUAUGGUAUCAGAGCAUGGUCUAGGGCCUGUAGGUGUAUUAGGUCCCUUGAUUAACUCUAACCGAUGAUUGUCUUUAACCUAUUAUAGGAGUAAUAGAGCCAAUUCUAGAGAUUAGUGGUCCUGUCACUCGUGGUGCUCAUGAUCACAAUGCUACUGGAGUACGCACUAGGAGAGGUGUUCAAACAAAUAAUAACUUGGAAGCUCCACGUAUCGUAGAGCAAACCCAGUCCUCCCGUACACCUGUCACUAAUUAUGGGCUAGCUUCUCCGACUUCGCAGAAUGCCCCUCAUGCCCCAGCACCCGUCAAUGCUCAAGAUGGCGUACACGGAGUCCUUAAUUCUAUUAUAGGAUACUUUGAGCGUCAAGAAGAACGAGAUGAAAUUCCACGGGAUAGGAAUAAUACCUUAGAUCACUUUAAAAUAUUAGGACCACUAGUUUUUUAGGGCAAGCCAGACCCAAUCUUUGCUGAAUGUUGGAUUCGUCAAGUGGAAAAGACAUUCGAAGCUAUCGAAUGUCGGGAAAAUCAGAAAGUGCCUUUCGCUUCUUUUAUUUUGGAAGGGAAGGCAGACACUUGGUGGACCUCAAAAAGGAGAAUGUUAGAGGCUGGAGGUAAUGUGGUAACUUGGGAGCAGUUUAAAGAUGCAUUUUAUGAGCAGUUCUUUCCUGAUUCAGUUCGCUUUGAGAAACAACAAGAGUUCCUUAACAUCCACCAAGGAAAUAGAACUGUAAUUGAAUAUGAUCAUCAUUUCACUGAGUUGGCUCAGUUCUCUCCACAUAUUGCUUUUAAUGAAAGUCAAAAAGCUUGUCAUUUUGAGAGGGGACUUCGAUUAUCAAUUAGAAAGUCUGUUGCAGUACUGAUUUUACCAACAUAUGCUGAAGUGUUAAAUCGAGCUUUGGUGGUAGAGAAAUUGGAUAAUGAAUUACAACAAGCAAAGGAUCGAAAGCGACCUUUUAGUGCUGCACCAUUUACGUAUGGGGGAUCACAUUCUAGACCCUCAAAGAAAGGAAAAGGCAAACAGCUAGGGCAUCAACAAGCAGGAGCUCCUAGCAAUCAAGUUGUUAUAAGAUGUUAUUUCUGCGGGAAGACANNNNNNNNNNNNNNNNNNNNNNNNNNNNNNNNNNNNNNNNNNNNNNNNNNNNNNNNNNNNNNNNNNNNNNNNNNNNNNNNNNNNNNNNNNNNNNNNACAACAAGCAAAGGAUCGAAAGCGACCUUUUAGUGCUGCACCAUUUACGUAUGGGGGAUCACAUUCUAGACCCUCAAAGAAAGGAAAAGGCAAACAGCUAGGGCAUCAACAAGCAGGAGCUCCUAGCAAUCAAGUUGUUAUAAGAUGUUAUUUCUGCGGGAAGACAGAUCAUGUUUCCACCUCAUGCCCCAUGGGACAACGCGUAUGUUUUUAUUGUCAACAACCGGGGCACAUGUCGAAGGAUUGCCCACGGAAGCAACAUCAACAUCGAGCUCCACCCCAAACAGCUGGACAACAACAGCUAUGACCCAGAGACGAAGGACAAGCAAGAGUCUACGCACUGACUCAUCAAGAUGCUGAAGCCUCGGGAUCUAUUAUUAAAGGUAUCAUCACACUUUGUGGUAUGCCAACAUCUGUGCUUAUUGAUUCUGAUUCUACGCAUUCUUUUAUAUCACCUUAUUUUGCUAUGAAAUUGCAUAAGAAUCGUGAGACAAUGAAUAAUGCAUUAAUGGUAGUAACACUAGUUGGAAACUCUUUAAUAGUUGAUCAAAUAUAUAGAAACUGUGUUAUUACUAUUGAAAGUCACGAUUUGCUAGUAGAUCUUAUUCUACUAGAAUUUCAAGAUUUCGACGCUAUCUUGGGUAUGGACUGGCUUUCAGCAUACCAUGCAAGUCUCGAUUGUUUUCGGAAGAUUAUUACUUUCUCACCUCUAGAUCAACCACCAUUCAAGUUCAUUGGGAUUCAAGAAAAGUUUCCUUCUAUUAUUUCAGCCUUGAGUGCUACCCAACUAUUACUGAAGGGAUGUCAGGGAUACUUGGCCUUCAUUUCUGGAGAAGAAUCUAAGAAGCUAGUAUUAAAGGACAUCCCUAUGGUACGGGAUUUUCCAAAUGUUUUUCCUGAAGAUCUACUUACACUGCCACCAAAUAGACAGAUUGAAUUUACAAUUGAUCUUCUACCUGGUACUGCACCUAUUUCUAAACCUCCGUAUAGAAUGGCACCAAUUGAGUUGGAGGAGUUAAAGAAACAGAUCCAAGAGCUUUUGGACAAGGGUUUUAUUCGACCCAGUGUAUCACCUUGGGGUGCCCCUGUCCUAUUUAUGAAGAAGAAAGAUAGAACUAUGCGACUAUGCAUCGAUUAUAGACAACUCAACCAAGUGAUCAUAAAGAAUAAAUAUCCUCUUCCCCGAAUAGAUGACAUGUUUGAUCAACUUUAAGGUACUCAGGUAUACUCAAAGAUUGAUUUGAAAUCCGGGUAUCAUCAACUGAAGAUAAGGGAAGGAGACAUACAAAAAACUGCCUUUAGAACAAGAUAUGGUCAUUAUGAAUUCUUAGUAAUGCCUUUUGGACUCACAAAUGCACCGGUUGCCUUCAUGGAUCUCAUGAAUAGGGUGUUUCACCCUUAUCUUGAUAAAUUUGUAAUUGUGUUCAUUGAUGAUAUCUUGAUCUACUCUAAAAGCAUAGCAGAGCAUAAACACCAUCUUAAGACAGUUCUGGAAGUCCUAAGGCAAGAGAAACUAUAUGCCAAGUUAAGCAAGUGCAACUUCUGGCUCAAUGAAAUUAUGUUUGUCGGUCAUGUAAUUUCGAGCGCUGGUAUAUCUGUUGACCCUCACAAGAUUGAAGCGGUGAUAAAAUGGAAGCAGCCUUCUAAUGUUUUGAAGAUUAGAAGCUUCUUGGGUUUGGAUGGAUACUAUAAAAGAUUCGUAGAAGGCUUUUCAAAAAUAGCAGCACCAUUGACUAAGUUGACACAAAAGAAUAUAAAAUUCAUGUGGGAUGAUAAAUGUCAACAAAGUUUUCAAGAAUUGAAGAAGAAUUGAAGAAGAAUUGAAGAAGAAUUGAAGAAGAAAUUAACCAGUGCUCCUAUAUUGGUGAUUCCUUCAAGGGGGAGAAGGUUUUGUAGUGUAUAGUGAUGCCUCACUACAAGAGAUUGGUUGCGUUCUAAUGCAAAACGAGAGGGUAGUAGCUUAUGCAUCGAGGCAAUUAAAGCCUCAUGAAAAGAACUAUCCUACUCAUAACUUAGAGCUAGCAGCUAUCAUUUUUACACUGAAAAUUUGGAGACAUUAUCUCUAUGGACAGACUUUCGAAAUCUUCACAGAUCAUAAGAGUCUUAAAUAUAUUUUCACACAAAAAGAUUUAAAUAUGAAACAAAGAAGGUGGUUGGACUUUCUAAAGGAUUAUUGUCACGUCCUAGAUUUUUUUUUAUUUUAUAUAACUUUCCACACAUUUAGGCCAAAUAGAUAAACAUCACUUUAUUCAUCAUUCAUAAACAUUUAUUACAAUUCAUUUAUUACAAUCCAUUUAUUCAUCGAAUCAUAAAUAGAAAAGUAAACAUAGUGAUGUUAACUUCAAGAAUCAUCCAAGUGGCUCUACCUAGCGGUAGAGGAAUGUCCGCUCUCCACUGGAAUCCGAUUUAGUACUAGAGGGAGGCUGCUCUGAAAAUCAAAAACAAAGAAAAUUCAACAACGCUGAGUAGGAACCCCAAAAGUCAACUCAAAAUGUAUACAUGAUCAAAAUUCAAUCACUCAUCCCAUUGGCGUAUAUCAAAUACCUGAAGGAGCACUCCCCCAACAGCGAAUGGAGAGGCUUUAUCCUACGGGAUGAGUUUGUGUUCUCCCAACAGCGGAUGAAGGCAAACUCAUAUCGCACUCCCAACAGCGAAUGGAGUGGUGUCCCACACCCGUCAAAGUGGGGACACGUUCCUCCCAACAGCGGAUGGUGGAACCGUCCAGCCGCCACGCCUGACGGCCCGCUAAUCCCCAAAGGGAAUCGCCCUACCUGCUCUCGGCAGGGAAAUAAUAUAAUCUCACACCGAUCAUGUCCAUAUUGGGAUGAAAUAAUACAUUUGAAACAUCUCUUUCAAAUAUCAUCAAUAUCAAAUAAUACAAAUUAGCCCUCAAUUGACUUGAACUCUAAUUCAAUCGAUUCAAUUGAACUCAAUUAACUAGAACCUAACUGAACCGAUCUCUAAUCCUUAUAUAACUGGUCUAGAACCACCCUAGACCAGUAUAAUUUGGACUAGAUUAGAUUCAAUUUAGGUUAAACUAACUUGAAUAAGUCAAUCCAUUCGGAAUCACCAUGAAUUGAUCUAGACUGAUCAAGCCUAGUUUAGUUCAAUCAAUGUUUGAGUUCAAAUUCAAUAAUAAUAUUGGGCUAGAUUGGGCCAGCCCAUCUACUGGUCAUGUGCAUUAUACAUAACUGAGCAUGCAUCACACAAAACUGGCCCAGCCCUGACCCAUGGACUGGUCAUGUGCGUCACAUGUGAUCGCCCAUGAUGGUUGGGCUGGGUUAGCCUACGGGCCAAGGCCUGACCCGUGGGUUGGGCCUAGCCUGUGAGCAAUUUCAUUCCAAUUAAUAUUCAAUUUCAUGCUACAACAUAUAUCCAUUAACAAUAUAAAUAAAAACAUAAUAACGCAUAAAAAAUAGAUAAGGAGAAAAGUUUUAAUACAAGAAAAUAACAUCCUAUGAAUAGAAAUCAUAACACAUUAAAAGAUAGACUGGGAGAUAAGUUUUAAUAUAAGGAAAGUCUUCUAAAUUCAAAUAGAAUUCAUGCUUUCAACACAUAUAAAAUGUCAACAUAUUCUAGUCAAAAUUUAAAUCAUUCAGAAUAACAUAUUUUAAAUUUUAAAUCAAAGAAUAUCAAACAAGAUUUUAGAUAACAUAUUUUAAUCUAACAAGAUUUUAAUCCAAAUAAGAUUAAAGAUGAACUGUAAUGCUAGGAAGUAUCAUAUAAAACAUAUAAAUAUUUAAAUCUACAAUAAAAACCUUAAUCAUAGGUCAAAGAAUAUUAUAAAAACUUUAACUGAUUACUUUAAUAUAAAAAUUUUGAUAUUUAAAGGAUUGAUACAUAUUUUUUAAACUUCAAAACUUUCAACAGAAUCAAAAUAAAAACUAAAACUUUUAUAUUCAAGAAAGACAAGGAAACCUACCUCUCGUCAGUAGGAUAUAACUCCUCGUUCCUCCCGUUGUCAGGCUCGACUAGGUGAGGAACGAAGGAGAGAAAUCCCUCCCCUUAAAUAGGAAGAGGUGAGCCUCCAUUAAAGGAAAUAUAUUUUUAUUUUUAUAUUUAUUUAAUAUAGAUUAUUUCUAUUUAAUAUACUAACAAAUAUGAUCUCAUCCUAUUUGGAAUGCUUAAUAGUUAUUUCUUAAUUUAUAUUAACAAAUAAGGAAAUAUAUUAAGAUUUUCUAAAUUAUAAUGACAAGUAAGGAAAACAAAAUUUAAAUCUCAAUCUUAAAUAUUUGAUUUGAUUACAUUUCUCCCCUCCUAUAGGAAAUUUGGUCCCCAAAUUUAACUCACCUUAAUAGAAUAGAUGAGGAUACUGCUCUCGCAUAUCUUCUUCUCUUUCCCACGUUGCCUCUCGGUCCGAAUGGUGUUGCCAACAAAUCUUUACCAAAGGUAUAAUUUUGUUCCUUAGAACAUGUUCUUUCCUUUCCAAGAUCUGGGUUGGUUGUUCUCCAAAAGUAACAUCAUCUCUUAGUUGUAGAGGUUGAUAAGAUAUGACAUGUGAUGGAUCCCUGAUAUAUCUUCGAAGCAUAGACACAUGAAAUACAUCAUGGAUGCCAGCCAAAGCCGGGGCCAAUACCAAUCUAUAUGCUACAGGCCCAACCUUUUGUAAAAUCUCAAAUGGGCCAAUAAAUCUUGGGGCUAACUUUCCCCUUUGACCAAACCUCAUAACUUCCUUGGUUGGCGACACCUUUAAGAAGACGUGCUCACCAACUUCGAACUCUAGAUCUCUUCGCCUUCGAUCUGCAUAACUUUUUUGAUGACUUUGAGUUGUUAAUAAUCUUUGGCGUAUAAUUCAAAUAUUAUCAGCAUCUUUUUGAAUUAAUUGAGGCCCCAAUAGCUUCCGUUCUCCCACCUCAUCCCAAUAUACAGGUGAUCUGCACUUUCUUCCAUAAAGAGCUUCAAAUGGAGUCAUCUGUAUACUAGAGUGGUAACUAUUAUUAUAAGAAAACUCAAUUAGAUGCAAGUGCAUAUCCCAACUCCCACCAAAGUCUAAAGCACAUACUCUUAAGAGAUCUUCAAGAGUUUGUAUUGUCCUUUCAGAUUGACCAUCAGUUUGGGGGUGAAAGGCUGUACUAAACUUUAACUGCGUGCCCAAAGAUUUUUGUAGACUUCCCCAAAAUUUAGAGAUGAAUCUUGGAUCUCUAUUUGAGAUAAUGCUAACUAGCACCCCAUGAUAUCGAAUAAUUUCCUUAAUAUAUAAGCUUGCUAGUUUAUCCAAUGAAUACUUCUUGUUAAUAGGGAGGAAGUGAGCAGAUUUAGUAAGUCUGUCUACUAUUACUCAAAUUCCGUCAUAUCCUUUCACAGUCUUGGGUAAUCCUGUCACAAAAUCCAUAGUGACUUGCUCCCACUUCUAUUCAGGAAUCGAAAUCCUUUGCAACUUUCCCGCAGGUACUCGAUGUUCUAUCUUCACCUGUUGACAUAUCAGACAUUUAGAAACAAACUUUGCUAUAUCUCUCUUCAUACCACGCCACCAAUAGUUUUGACGUAAAUCUCGAUACAUCUUAGUAGUCCCGGGAUGGAUGUUAAAUUUUGAUCUAUGUGCCUCCUCCAAUAAUUGCAUCUUUACUGGAUGGCUUUCGGGAAUACAAAGUUGAUCAUGGAAUGUAAUAGAACCAUCUUCGGCUUGGAGGAAUUCAGGUCUAGAUCCUUGAGCUAUUUCCUUAACUAUCAUUUGAAGAUAUGUAUCUUCCUUCUGACCUUCUUUAACCUUUUCCACCAAAUAUGAUUGUGUCAUCAAACACACAAGAAAACAUUUAUUUGUCUCUGAUAAAAGUUUAAGUUUUAAGUCUGCUAACUCCGUCAUCAUAGAAUUCCUUUGAAUAUUCAUAUAGGCUACAAGACUAUAGGUAUUUCUGCUUAAGGCAUCAGCAACUACAUUAGCUUUCCCAGGAUGGUAGUUGAUAUUAAAAUCAUAAUUGUAACAUCCCUGAUUAGUCCCACAUCGAAAGUGGGCAAGAUUAAGAUUGGCUUAUAAGGGUGUGAUAAGUGUACUACUAUCAACUUCAGCUUAAGCAUUUUAGUCAAUGGUUUAGACCAAACAAAGUUGAUAGGCUAGUUUGCCCUUCAGGCUCGGGUCAUGACAUUUGGUAUCAGAGCCGACCUAAUAUUUGGGCAUGGUGAGGGGGCUCGAGUAGGAAAGGGUUACCCGUAGACGGAGUCAGAGGACUCGUCACGGCGUGGAGCCACCAUUGGGCUACGCCUCACGUGCACUAUGCUAGGGUUUGAUCUGGGUUAUGUUGGGUCUUGACGAGGACGUCAAGCCUUUGAGUGGGGGUGAUUGUAACAUCCCUGAUUAGUCCCACAUCGAAAGUGGGCAAGAUUAAGAUUGGCUUAUAAAGAUCUGAUGAAUGUACUACUAUCAACUUCAGCAUAAGCAUUUUGGUCAGUGGUUUAGACCAAACGAAGUUGAUAGGCUAGUUUGCCCAUCAGGCUCGGGUCAUGACAUUCCAGAUAGAUCAAUUGAGGCCCCUAUCAUUCUCUCAACAAAAUAAAAAAUGGGGCUCCGAAGAAAAGAUCAACUCCGUUGAUCAUGACCUACAAUAUCUAAUUAACCUAAUUAUCACUUUAAAAAAUAAAAAAUAAAUUUGAAGACCUUUUACAUAACAAAAUGGAUUCCGAAAUUACACUACUUUUACAUGCUAGACUUACGAUAGAUGACCUUCCGUUUAGGAAAAUCUCAUAAGUCUAAAUAAUCCCAUCUAUAAACACCUCUAAAACUAACAAAAUAUGAAUCCUAAUAGCUAAACACCUUUCCUAAGCCAUACUAACAUAUAAUGAAACUCUAAACACAUAUAAUACUAGAACAGGACUCUGAACACAAUAUCUGAACCACAAUAACUAAUGAUAGACACUUGAAAAGCAAAUUAUAAAAAAUAAAACAAAACGUAACAGGACCUAGAUACAACUUAACCAAACCUAAAAGGACUCUAUUUGACUCACCGAACACCCAACUGCAACUUGCCCUGUAUCAUAGCUAAUCUGAAAUGGCAAAUUAAGAUGAUAUAGUAUGUCAUUUUCAUCUACUCAGAGCCCAUCUUAAAGUAGGACAUGUCACCUAUGCAAGCCCAAAAGGAAUGGCUUGGAGAACAUGUAAAUACAAAACUUAGGCAGCCAGUCAUAACUUUUGUUCCAAAAUCACAACAAUUCAUUUUUAAAUGGACUUAUACACAUUGAACUAUCUACCAUUGUGAUCAAAUAAAAAUAGUAUGUGCAUUUUUAUUAUAAUUUUACGAUAGUCAUUGGCUUUUGAGUCAUAAUAAAUUUAUCUCUAAGUCUUCAUUGCUCGCAUAAGCCUAACUGGUAUAAUCAACUGAGCGUAACAAUAUUCUCAAUUCAAGGGUUAGGACCGUUCAAAUUCAUUUGGUUCUAGUACCCAUAUAGCAUUUCCAUCAAAUCAACAGAGGUCUACACAUAUAAAAGUAGUUCUUCCACAAGAACCAGAGGUGUCUAAUUUCCUCUUUAAAUUCCAAGUCUAAACUACUACCAGGUCCUAAUGUAGCAAAGUGUAAUUCUAGGCUAAUCAACAAACAUAUACCUAAUAUUUUAUGAGGCCAAAUUAGUCUAACAUUGAGAGUGGUAAGGUGAUAAGGUCAAAUGGGCUCAUUGCUACUAAAACAGACUUCCACAUGAUUUAAUACUCGUUAUAUCCUAAUUGCUAAGUCAAUGGGCCUUUUAAGAUUACUUGUAACAAUUAGUAGCAAAAUAUAAGUAACACAGAUGUGGGGGUGAGUGAAACUGUAUAAGAAACGAUUACCUAUGGACGAUGAAGAUGCACACUAUGGCAUGAAGCCACCACUGUGCCAUGACCCAGCCCUUUGAAUGAAAGAAAUUGUAACAUCCUGUUAAAUUCCACAUCGGCAGCAGGCAGCAGGAAGGUAUUUAUGAAGACGUACAAGACCUCAUCGGCUUAUUACUUAUAACAUGAUUUAAGCAAUCAGAAUCAUGUGGUUCAAGAAUACUUACAUCCUAGUUACUGAUCCUGUGGGUCUAUUGGCCAGGUCAUAACAUUAUGCCAUUACUAUGACUAUAUGGCGAGCCUCUGUACAGACAAGUAGAUAUUAGUCAAACCUGCAAGACAACAAAUAAAUUACAAAGCCUAAGAAGCACAGAAACGGACACGGACACAACUUGACAUGAACAUGGCAACACACCAAUUUUAAAAAAAAUAGGACAAAAAUUAGGACACGGACAUGACAAGGAUGUGUAUUUUAUAGAGUACCGAAGAGACUCCGAUGACAAUUGAUAUAUGUUUCCUCAUGACAAUCUUUAGAUUUCUUUCCUUGCAUUGUUGGCAAUCCGUCUCCACAUAGAAUCCAAAGCAGAUGGCCCUCAUGUGAGGGCCGCAAGCACAGCACCGCAUACGAGGGCCACGUGCUGAAACACACAAGAGCGACAUGGGAGCGGUGUCGU
rnacentral:lncRNA from 1 species